rnacentral:rRNA from 1 species
UACGGGGGGGGCAAGCGUUGUUCGGAAUUACUGGGCGUAAAGGGCUCGUAGGCGGCCAACUAAGUCAGACGUGAAAUCCCUCGGCUUAACCGGGGAACUGCCUCUGAUACUGGAUGGCUUGAGAUUGGGAGAGGGAUGCGGAAUUCCAGGUGUAGCGGUGAAAUUCGUAGAUAUUGGGAAGAACACCGGUGGCGAAGGCGGCUCUCUGGACCGUAACUGACGCUGAGGCGCGAAAGCGUGGGGAGCAAACAGG